UUCGUAGGUGGCCCGCUAAGUCACACGUGAAAUCCCUCAGCUUAACUGGGGAACUGCGUGUGAGACUGGCGGGCUUGAGUGCAGGAGAGGAACGCGGAAUUCCAGGUGUAGCGGUGAAAUGCGUAGAUAUCUGGAGGAACACCGGUGGCGAAGGCGGCGUUCUGGACUGUAUCUGACACUGAGGAACGAAAGCCAGGGGAGGCAAACG
rnacentral:rRNA from 1 species